rnacentral:rRNA from 1 species
AGAGUUUGAUCAUGGCUCAGAUUGAACGCUGGCGGCGUGCCUAACACAUGCAAGUCGAGCGGUAACAGGUGUAGCAAUACAUGCUGACGAGCGGCGAACGGGUGAGUAAUGCUUCGGAAUCUACCCUUUAGUGGGGAAUAACCAGCCGAAAGGUUGGCUAAUACCGCAUACGUCCUACGGGAGAAAGCAGGGGAUCGUAAGACCUUGCGCUGAUGGAUGAGCCGAAGUCGGAUUAGCUAGUUGGUGAGGUAACGGCUCACCAAGGCGACGAUCCGUAGCUGGUCUGAGAGGACGACCAGCCACACUGGGACUGAGACACGGCCCAGACUCCUACGGGAGGCAGCAGUGGGGAAUAUUGGACAAUGGGGGCAACCCUGAUCCAGCGACGCCGCGUGUGUGAAGAAGGCCUGCGGGUUGUAAAGCACUUUUAGUGGGGAUGAAAUGUGCAGGGUUAAUACCUCUGCAUUUUGACCUAACCCACAGAAAAAGCACCGGCUAACUCUGUGCCAGCAGCCGCGGUAAUACAGAGGGUGCAAGCGUUAAUCGGAAUUACUGGGCGUAAAGCGUGCGCAGACGGUUAUAUAAGUCGGGUGUGAAAGCCCCGGGCUCAACCUGGGAAUUGCAUUCGAGACUGUGUAGCUAGGGUACGGAAGAGGGAAGCGGAAUUUCAGGUGUAGCGGUGAAAUGCGUAGAUAUCUGAAGGAACACCAGUGGCGAAAGCGGCUUCCUGGUCCAGUACCGACGUUCAGGCACGAAAGCGUGGGGAGCAAACAGGAUUAGAUACCCUAGUAGUCC